CUCUAUCAGCAAUAACAGCAUCACUGCCAACUUCUGAGUGUCUAACAAUUGCCAGUAUACAUGAGAAGAAAACUGGAUCAAGUUCAAAGUCUUGAUCCUGGUCAACGUUGAAGAUGCCACAAAGUUAAAUAAAGCACAAGGUGAUGCGAGAGAAUGAACGCG